CCUACGGGAGGCAGCAGUGAGGAAUAUUGGUCAAUGGUCGGGAGACUGAACCAGCCAAGCCGCGUGAGGGAUGAAGGUACAGAGUAUCGUAAACCUCUUUUGUCAGGGAACAAAGGCGGGGACGCGUCCCCGGAUGAGUGUACCUGAAGAAAAAGCAUCGGCUAACUCCGUGCCAGCAGCCGCGGUAAUACGGAGGAUGCGAGCGUUAUCCGGUUUUAUUGGGUUUAAAGGGUGCGCAGGCGGGCUGUUAAGUCCGCGGUCAAAGCCCGGGGCUCAACCCCGGCCCGCCGUUGAAACUGGCAGUCUGGAGUUGGAGAGAAGUAUGCGGAAUGCGCGGUGUAGCGGUGAAAUGCAUAGAUAUCGCGCAGAACUCCGAUUGCGAAGGCAGCAUGCCGGCUCCACACUGACGCUGAGGCACGAAAGCGUGGGUAUCGAACAGGAUUAGAUACCCGGGUAGUC
rnacentral:rRNA from 1 species